UCCUCUUGGCAGUGGGAAAAGAGAUACCUUGUUGGUGGUGUUCUUGUAUCAGUUAGACCUAGAGCAAAUGGCAAUCCUAUGUUCAUCCUAGCUGGAUGUUUGGCUUGGUGACCAAAGCUGUUUUAUGCCUAGGACUUAUAA